AGGAGUGUUAACUGAUACAGUCAAGCCAUGGACAAAAACCUUUGCUGGAAGCCCUUCCAUCGUAAUACGGUUGUGAAACAUCGAUGGAAAAAAGCCGACCUUGUAGGGGAAAAAGGUCAACCCUUAUAUGAUUGUUGUACUGCGAUCAGCUAUAUGAACACAGAUCUUGAGCGGAGAGUGCCGGAAAAAGUCAACCGAGCAGGAAGUCGAUCGUGAAGAGGACAAAGGAAGGACGACAAUCGUCGUUUAGCUGCAUUACCUUCAAUGAUUGUUACGGGCAGCUUAAUGGAGUUCGCGUGGAGCAUUGCCUAUUGUGAUGAUUCGCUAAUCUCGCAGGGGAAUUAGUUGGGUCGACGAUUGUUGCGAGUCUUGGCCAAACCUUAAAGAACACACACUUAACAGCGAAUCUAUGCAUGAGACCGUAAACUCGCAACGCUUUUACUGCUGACCCAUCAGAGAUCGUUUGAAAGAGCGGGAAUGCUUACUGACGAUUAGCAGACUACGAAGAGGGCAUCGGCUACGAAUAGUCAG
rnacentral:lncRNA from 11 species